rnacentral:rRNA from 1 species
CCAUGACAGCUCGAGCGGAUGAAGGGAGCUUGCUCCUGGAUUCAGCGGCGGACGGGUGAGUAAUGCCUAGGAAUCUGCCUGGUAGUGGGGGAUAACGUCCGGAAACGGGCGCUAAUACCGCAUACGUCCUGAGGGAGAAAGUGGGGGAUCUUCGGACCUCACGCUAUCAGAUGAGCCUAGGUCGGAUUAGCUAGUUGGUGGGGUAAAGGCCUACCAAGGCGACGAUCCGUAACUGGUCUGAGAGGAUGAUCAGUCACACUGGAACUGAGACACGGUCCAGACUCCUACGGGAGGCAGCAGUGGGGAAUAUUGGACAAUGGGCGAAAGCCUGAUCCAGCCAUGCCGCGUGUGUGAAGAAGGUCUUCGGAUUGUAAAGCACUUUAAGUUGGGAGGAAGGGCAGUAAGUUAAUACCUUGCUGUUUUGACGUUACCAACAGAAUAAGCACCGGCUAACUUCGUGCCAGCAGCCGCGGUAAUACGAAGGGUGCAAGCGUUAAUCGGAAUUACUGGGCGUAAAGCGCGCGUAGGUGGUUCAGCAAGUUGGAUGUGAAAUCCCCGGGCUCAACCUGGGAACUGCAUCCAAAACUACUGAGCUAGAGUACGGUAGAGGGUGGUGGAAUUUCCUGUGUAGCGGUGAAAUGCGUAGAUAUAGGAAGGAACACCAGUGGCGAAGGCGACCACCUGGACUGAUACUGACACUGAGGUGCGAAAGCGUGGGGAGCAAACAGGAUUAUAUACCCUGGUAGUCCACGCCGUAAACGAUGUCGACUAGCCGUUGGGAUCCUUGAGAUCUUACUGGCGCAUCUAACGCAAUAAGUCCGACCCCCCUGGGGAGUACCGCCGCAGCGCUAAAACUUAAAUGAAUUUGAC